AGCAUCUAAUUCGCGCAUUUAAUGUUAGUGAGUUGCCAUUUACACCGGAAAACUAGUCCUCGUGGUGCCAUUUCAUCCAUUUAUUAAAUAUUUGGUACACGCAUUAUAAACGUAGCUACUAGUGUCGAAGCCCCUUUAUGUCAGUUCACAAUAGAACUUUCAAAACGGUCCUGGUAGAUCCACCUUGUACAGGAUAAUUUAUAUUCCCUGCCACUGGUCGAAAUUUAUGACAAACUGCGUGGUGCUCAACCUCUUGUCAGUGCGGCAUUUUUCUUUGACUAACCGGCUUCGGCGGUGGCGUGGCGGCCAUCUUCGCUGGGGCCGCAGAAGGAAGCCAUUUUUCACGUCAUCCCCGACAGAACACACAUGCCUUCUUUAAUGACGACGACGACGACGACGACGACGAUGACGACGACGACGCACCGAGACCUGUUUCAGGUCUUCGUCUUCUUCUUCUUCUUCUGCUUCUUCUUCCUCUGCUUAUAUGUGAAGUUGAUGGCAUCUGCAACAUCUCGCCGCUCUUAUUAUUCUGUUUUUAAAACUUCAUUAUAAGUGCCGCCUUUAAAUGAUGAUCAUCGUCGCGCUUGCCAUUUCAUGAAAGAACCUGUUUUGUCGUAAAUUUUACUUAUUCAGUUUAAAGAAUUUAGGAUAUUUCACCAUAUAUUAGCGUAUUAUAUCAUCAUCGAGUUGGAAUUUGUUUGUAUAAUCCUCUUUCAAAAUUAAUAAAAUAUACCCACGUAAACCGUUGAAAACAUUUUAAUAUUUAUUGAUAUUAAUAUAUCUAAAAAUAAAUCCGUAACAAAUAUGCGUUGACACGUGCAGGCUCAUAAUUACCCCCGUUUAACCACACACGUUUAAUUUGCUAAACUUAUUUUCAGUGUUCAAAGGUUGGCACAAAUGAGCCUUAAAAAUAACCAGCUUGAUGAAUAGAAGACUAAGGGAAGCGUAAUGGCAACUAUAAAAUAAAGUUAUAAAUAACUCGGCCAUAAAUUCAAGUGACAAGGGCGUAAAUUUAAAAAUAUAUCGCGGUCGUUAUUUAUCGGGCCCCAUUCGUUCGUUCGCUCGCUCGCCGGGUAACGAGAAACUCGGCUACUUUAACUUCGCGACAAGAUUGUAAAUCGCGGAUUAUUUGUUACUUUCGCGGAAUGCAGUGGCGGCCCCACGGUCGCUCCUUCCCACUCUUAUUUGCGAUAUAAAUCAUAAUGAGGAUCGCACGCACACCUAAUGUGCUCAACUUUUUAGUAGAACCAUGUGUAUAAAUUAUCUAUCAGUCAGCAGUCUGUUAAUUUUGGCCCAGAAAGACGCAGAGCGUUGUUUCCAAAUGUUCUUCUCUUGUUCAGAGCCUUGAAAGCUUGGGCGAUUCAAAUCUUCUACUCCACGACAUACAGAUGGCGGUGUAUUGCUGACAGAUGGAACGAAGGAAAAUUUCUAAAAAAGAAGUGAAUUGUAUUCUAUAAGAACUCAGAAAAAAAUAAGAAAAACUAUAUCAUCAUAUGUAAUUCAUUUGUGAUUCAUUCAUGUCCAAUUCAAGGAGGAACCUUAAACCAGAUGUCACAUCUUCAAUUAACCUUCCAGGCUUAAUAUAAGAUAAGUUAGAAUGGUCUUCUUAACAAAUCGCGUCAUCAGAAGUGGCAGUAAAAGCUGGAUAACACGAGAUGCUUCCCUCAGACAACAAUCAAGCAUUGAUUAAAACAUUGAGUUUAAAAACUUUGAGUUUAAUCAGCUACUAUUAAUAGAAACAUAUAUUUAAUUUAUAAUAUUUACUAAGGAACAUUACUAGUGAAUUAGGUAUGCAGUAAUUUCUUCGUGAUUUUAUUGAAUUUUUAUAUUUAACUUUUUGUAACACGUAAUUAAAUUAACUUGUAAGUUUACACAUUAUGGAAUUUGGAAGAAUUUUUAUAUGUUAUUUAAUGGUUUAAGAAGCAUGUAUAAUGUACAAUUGUUAAUUUUUAUUGUAUAAUCUCUUUUUAUAAUAUAGUAAGACAUUUUAUGAA